UUCAUACCUAUCAUAUCCUUAUCAUGAGAGUUAUAUAUUUUUGUUUUUGCAUUAAUUAGUUGUUUUUAGAUUGCUUAUCCUUCAUUAAUCGUUUUUCCAGUAAAACAAAGGCUUUCAACUGAGGAGGUAGCUCUUCCAAUGAGCUAGUUUCCUUUAAUGAAACCUUUGCUAAAUCAGGAGGCACGGGUAAAUGUUUAUCUAAAUAAUGCCUUUUUGCUUUUCUUCGUGCACGAUUGUAUUCCUCAAGGUCAUCAGCAUACACAUCCCAAACACAUAUAGCGCAACCACUUUGGCAACAAUUCAAAGGCUCCUCGGGUUUUGGAGGUACUCUUAUGCCAUCGUAAAUACGACUCACAUUCCCUAUAGAAUAAGAACGCAACGACGCUGGUCCCUCCUCCACUGCUAGAAAAGAUACAUUGGGCUCUAUUUCAAAAUGAAAUUUUGGUUUUGGUUGUUUCAAUAAUUCUUUAAACAACGUUAGAUGCAUAAAAAUCACGACUAUAUACCGUACGUCGAUAGAAUUUUAAACUAGGCUUUACCGUGUCCGAUCCUUGCCAAAAAGGAAUUGUAUACGAAAAUGAGCGACUAAAUUGAGCCAAAAUUCUCUGGGAUAUCGCAUUUUUUACACAAAGCAUUUUGGUGCUGUUGCUAAGAGUGAUAGCAGGUUUUCAUACUAUCACCAACUUUGAGAGGUCAAUUAGUAGUGGCUCCGAGUAAAUGAUAGCAAAGGAUCAAUUUUCAGCUGAUUAGCCACAGCACACUCAGCAAAAAGCGAAGUUGUUAAACAACAUAUUGAGAAAUGAAAAUUCUAAAUAUAUGUUGAUUUGUCAGGAUUGAUGAAAUUCGCUAGGCGUUCAUUGUAGAAGUGGCCUUUCGUUCAUUUUCUUUUUGUUUUUGCUUAUGCUUUUGCUUCAUCCUCAUUAUUGUAAUCUCUUCGUAAUCUUCCACGGUAGUAUCCUUUUCAGUAGGCGUAUUGGAGUUUGAUUUUGGAGGCUUCAACCAUUGUACAUCAUAAAUUUUAGAAGGUUUUUCAGCGUUAAUAGCGGAAUAUGCGGAGGAAAGUGUUUCAAAUACUAUAAUUGAAUAUACAUAUUUUUUCUCUUUCGAUAUAUCCUUUUGGAUAACUACAUUUUGUAGAGUCCCAAAGGAUGAGUAGAUAGAUCUCAAGUAUGCAUCAUUUACUUGAUCAGCAUAUUUCCGCUUCCAUCGUAUCCGAAUGGAUCUAUCCAAUUCUGAAAUUUUACUGCUUGGAGUCUCCUGUUUUCUUCUUUUCGAUUGUUCUUGUUCUUCCCUAAGACGAUUUUCUCGUUGUCGUCGCAAAUUUGCACUUUCUUCUUGUAAAGCCCUCAGUUUUUCUUGAAGUCGAUCUCUUUCGUUUUCUUUCUUCUCUAAAGAGUCAUAGAAUUGGCGUUCUCUUUCCCUCAAGUCAUCUACCAUACUUUUUCGCUGAAAGUUAAAUGCUUCCUCGCGUCUUUUGCGAGCAAGCUUAGCAAACCUUUCAGAGUCAUAUGCUUUUCUUAAUUGCACAUCAAUUAGCGCGUUAUAUGCUAACUGAAGCAUGUGAAACUUUUCCGCCGCCUUGGGAUCAUUUGGAUUUUUGUCAGGAUGAUAUUUUAACGAAGUUUUUCGCCAAGCGCGAUGAAUUUCUUGAUCUUGAGCAUCUUCAUUAAUACCUAACAGUUCAUAGUAAUCAAUUGAAUCACCUUCAGAUGCCAUUUUUCAAGAGAAUUGGAAUCUUUCAAAAAAGAAGCACUUCUCUCACCGUCGUGUUUUCUAACAGUGCUGUGUUCCUUGCUUCUAAAGAAUUGUAAAGGGAAAAAUGAAAAAGCAUAAAGUUAUACUGCAGUCCCAACGAACCUCGUACAACAGUUCUUUUCGAUCUCGAGAAUUGUUCUUUUUCGAACAAAAUCAGUACUUGGGAAUAACUAAUCUCUUGACUACAACACUCCACGUUAGGAUAUAUUAUUAAUAAUUUUAGCGCGCUUAAA